GGUAUUAUAAUUAAGUUGUGUAAGAUCAUAGAACUGAUUUGAAAAACAUUCAACAUACUCUCGUAUGCAUAGAACAAGAUAUUUUUGAUUUGCAAUUUUCUAAUUUUUAAGGGUUUGUGUAAAGGGAAUAAAGAAGAUAGAAUCAACAUACAAAUAUUCAAUUUCACUGCUUAGAAAUGUAAAAGUAGCCCAUGUCAUUUAUUUUAUUUUUUUAUU